rnacentral:lncRNA from 1 species
CUCUGGAAGAUCAAAUCAUGACAGUAAGCUGAUCAGGUCACAGCUGGCUCUGGAAGAUGUCAUACAUUCUCUCACCACACAAGGGCGCUGUUGUCCUUUCGCUCACGGACUGACUGGGCUUCCCUGUAUCUAUGGUCUGACGGACAAACAGCCCCAUUCUCAGAGUUCAUAACGGAGUGCUUACAUUAUUACACUUGUGCAAUUCAAGAUAUAUUUAUUUUACCCUUUCAGUAUUUUUUGUUGUUGUUGUUGUUGAAAAAGGUACAAAAUGUUUGAAUUGUUUAAAAAGUUAUUUUAAGCUAUACAGGUUUUGUGUUCUCAGAGGGAUGGGAUCAAAACACAGCAAGAUGACAAUUCAGUUGAAAAGAUAAGAGUAGUCAGCACUUCAGACUAGUGAGGACAAUGUGCAUUAUAAUGCAGCUGUUUAGUUUGACGACUGUGACACACAAACGCAGUCAUUUCACUGUGAGAACUGACGGACUGUAAUAAUAAUAAUGUGUUUUAAAGCCUACAUACACACAAACAGGUUGUACUUUCUGCUAAAUUCAAUGUAGGCUUUUUUCUUGUUGCUUUUGACAACAACAACAGUACACCAAAGUUCAGAAUAGAUGAACAAUGUUUCUGUGUGUUUGGCGUUUCUAAUGAUAAGCUAAGUGACAGCUGUAUUGGAGAGACAGAGGCGGGAUAAAACACAACACAUCACUCAAAUGUUUGGUGAGAAACUAGGUGAGAUACUGUACUGGCUAGAUGGGAGGUACUGUACUGUAUUGGCUAGAUGGGAGGUACUGUACUGUAUUGGCUAGAUGGGAGGUACUGUACUGUACUGGCUAGAUGGGAGGUACUGUACUGGCUAGAUGGGAGGUACUGUACUGUACUGUACUGGCUAGAUGGGAGGUACUGUACUGUAUUGGCUAGAUGGGAGGUACUGUACUGUAUUGGCUAGAUGGGAGGUACUGUACUGUACUGGCUAGAUGGGAGGUACUGUACUGGCUAGAUGGGAGGUACUGUACUGUAUUGGCUAGAUGGGAGGUACUGUACUGGCUGGAUGGGAGGUACAGUACUGGCUAGAUGAGGUACAGUACUGGCUAGAUGGGAGGUACAGUACUGGCUUGGUGGGAGGUACAGUACUGGCUGGAUGGGAGGUACAGUACUGGCUAGAUGAGGUACAGUACUGGCUAGAAGGGAGGUACUGUAUUGGUGGGAGGUACAGUACUGGUUAGAAGGGAGGUACAGUACUGGCUAGAAUGGAGGUACAGUACUGGCUUGGUGGGAGGUACAGUAUUGUACUGGGUGGAUGGGAAUAUGUAAACCCAGCCAACAUAUCUGGGUUAGUAUUCUGUAUGUGAAAUUGAGACAUCCAGGCCCGCUAGCCAAAACUCAACGGUGUGUGACUGACAGCUACAUGAACAUUAACUAUGUUACUCUUAUAAUGACCAUUUGGGGGGAGGGGGGCUUAUGUUGGUCCUGGUACACACCUGUACAAGUCUGUAAUGGAAAUGUGUUUCUUACAUACUGAGACCCUGAGGGAGUGGGGUCGCGACCUUUUAUGGUGAUACCAUUCAGUAUUGGCUUCUGUACUCACAACCCUAUUUUCUAAACCAGACACAGUGAUGUGUGCAGUCUGGUUGAAUAUUGCUAUUCAGGCAUGUGAGCCAUCGUCACAACCCAGUCAAAAUGUUGCUUUUUCU